AAAGAAGAAGAGAGGGAAAAAAAAAAAAUUAGACGCAGCGAAGAAGAACACCAAAAAAAAAAAAAAUCCAAGAGAUUAGGGCUUUCUCCUCGCGCUCCUCGCGAUUGCGCCACCGAUUCGGUCCAAUCCAAUGCCGCGCGCGCCCAGGGCCCCGAAUCCCCUCCCCGCCGCCGCGGAGAACGAGGAUAACGAUACUGGCCAAGCUGAGCCAUCUUGCAGCACACCUGCCCAUCAUCAGGCUUUCCGCCCUGUUACUCGCUCUAUGACCCGUAAACCUACCGCUAUUGCUGCUUCACCUGAUGUGAAGGAAGGAGGUCCUGCUAGCACAAGCAGGUGUAAAAGUACUACAGGUCCUUGCUUUAGCACCCAAUCAGCUGCCUCAAGACCAUCUGUAACACGUGUCCGCAGUCCUCAUAAAGUGGCUUCAUCUGCUUGGAAGCCCCUUACUCAGCCUGUUGCUAUGGAUGAAGACUUGAAGCGGACAAUUGCUCCUUCAACCAAUCCUUCUGUCAAGCGCUCCAGAGUUGCUUCAUCUCAAGCUGCUAAAGAUAGUCCAACUGUUCACAGAGGCAAAAAGAGAAAUGAAGAAAGCACUAGCCGGGGUGAUCAGUUGGAUGGGGCAGCCAUCCCAUCUCCAUCAAAGAAGCUGCAGACUGGCAAGAACCCUUCUGAUGUAAUUCCAAAAAGGAAACUCACUAUCAGAAAUCAGGAUGGUAAAUUAGCUGCUCCACUGUCUAUGGUUAAGUUGGAGACUGAAAGUGGAGAAAGUUCUGUCAUUGUUUCCUCAAAUAUUGGUCAUGCAACUAGAAAUGACAAUUGUCAGUCAGUGGAAGCAGUUCAAUUAUGUGCACAGCAGCUGCAGCUUGAUACAAAAAAUAACUCCAAUGAUAUUAUUACAGAAGCUACUGCCAAUGUAACAAACCAAGCCAAUCUGCCUGUUGCUUCAGGCAAUACUGAAGCUAUUGUUAGCGGAACAAGCCAAGUCAAUCAGUUGACUUUUCCAGUCACUGCAGAAGCUAUACCCAACAGAGCUCACCAUGUCAAGCACUUAGCUGCUCCAUUCAAUAUAAAACCUAUGGUCAACAGAACAAGUCAAGUUAAUAAGCCAGUUUCUCCAGCCCGUACAGACGCAACUGCCAACAGAGGACACCAAGUUGUUGCACAAAAUAAGGUGUCUGCUCCAGUCAUCACAGUUCCCAGACAAAACUUCCAAGAGGAUGUUCAAAGGAAGCUUGCCAAGUUACUCAUUGCCAGGAGACAGAUCAGUGGCUCGGCUCCGGCUGGUACAUCUGCUCCAUUGGUCACACCGAAACUAGAGAUCGGGAAAGCUAAGGCCUCACCGUCCAAUGUUCUCUCAGAUCCUGCAUAUGCGAAUGCGAAGGCAUUCUUGAUCAAACAGCAAGAACAGCUGCUGCAGCAAUAUAAAUCGGCAAGUUCACAACAGCAACAAGUCCACAUCAAAGGACCAGCUCUAGCAGACAAGGAUGAGGCGCCACCAGUUGAACCAUUGGGAACAAGGUGCCAGCUGUGCAAGAUCGAUGUAGCUUUCAGGCCUCAAGGUGACAAUGCUCGUGACAAUGCUCCUCCGGUGGUGGCCGUCCUUGCCUGCCACCAUGCAUUCCACAGCCACUGCUUCGAGGCCAUUUACGGCCUCGCUGAGCCUUCCCAGUGUGUUGCCUGCGUUGAUUCUGGCAAAGCCUGAUGAUCAUGUUGCACUGAUCGACGAUCAGCUGCAGCAUCGAUUUGUACCGGAUGAACUCUGAUAUAGGGAUACAGUUCUUCGUUUUAGGAUACAAUGUAGGGAAGGGAGGUCGAGGUCUCAACAAUAAUCUGUUGGCAGGAAUUUUCUGGGCCAUUUGUGGCUCAAGUUCAAGCUGGAUAGUAGCAUUCUCUCUGGGUCUUGAUAGUGAGAUGGAUCGUUUGACAUGCUCGUGUUGCCGUCCCUUGUUUUGUUGCCAUAAAAAAAUCCUGAUGUAUUUGUAGCUGGCCCAGCCAAAGCCUCCGACAACUAGUCAGCUAUUGGGCUCGGAUGGGCCGGAUGGGCCCCCAGGAGGACGGUGUACGUAACGUACUCGCGGCUUGGUCCAAAGUAGUUCACGUGUCUUGGCAUUGAUAGCCUGCCUUCAUGCCGGUGUCAGUCGCUGUGCCAGUGCACGGGAAUUGAUGACCAUGAUGAUGAUGAUCACCAGCUUUGGGUCGCACGGCUGAGGAUGCUUUCCUGAACUGUUAAAGAGUCGGAUAAUACUCCAUCGACAAAAGAGAACGGUAGCCUGAGUGCUGGUGGCCUGGCUCCAAGCUGUUGUCCCAUUGGGAGGCCACACGCGCAGCACCAGCAGCGACUGACAGGCAGCCACAUAGGAUCCGGAGGAGAGGUGAGCAGCAGCCACAGAGGAUCCUGCGGCGGGUGGUCGUUGGCGGGUAAUCCAAGCGCGACC